rnacentral:rRNA from 1 species
GGUCACUGCUAUUGGAGUUCGAUUAAGCCAUGCGAGUCGAGAGGGGUUAAGCCCUCGGCAGACUGCUCAGUAACACGUGGGUAAUCUACCCUCGGGUCAGGGAUAAUCCCGGGAAACUGGGAAUAAUACCUGAUAGGUGAAGAUGUCUGGAACGAUACUUCGCCCAAAGCCCCGGCGCCCGAGGAUGAGCCUGCGCCCGAUUAGGUUGUUGGCGGUGUAAAGGACCACCAAGCCCGUGAUCGGUACGGGUGUUGAGAGACAUAGCCCGGAGAUGGGGGCUGAGACACGGCCCCAGGCCCUACGGGGCGCAGCAGGCGCGAAAACUACGCAAUGCGCGAAAGCGUGACGUGGGAACUCCAAGUGCCCUGCCUUCGGGUAGGGCUUUUGUUUAGUGUAAGUAGCUAAACGAAUAAGUGCUGGGUAAGACCGGUGCCAGCCGCCGCGGUAACACCGGCAGCGCAAGUGGUGACCGCUUUUAUUGGGCCUAAAGCGUUCGUAGCCGGUCUGGUAAGUCUUUGGGUAAAUCCUCAGGCUCAACCUGAGGAAUUCCAAAGAUACUGUCAGACUUGGAGUUGAGAGAGGUUAGAGGUACCUCCGGGGUAGGGGUGAAAUCCUAUAAUCCUGGGGGGACCACCAGUGGCGAAGGCGUCUAACUAGAGCAAGCUCGACGGUGAGGGACGAAAGCCAGGGGCGCGAACGGGAUUAGAUACCCCGGUAGUCCUGGCCGUAAACGCUGCGCGCUAGGUGUUGCAUGCUCUACGAGGGCGUGCAGUGCCGAAGAGAAGUUGAUAAGCGUGCCGCCUGGGAAGUAUUACCGCAAGGUAGAAACUUAAAGGAAUUGGCGGGGGAGCACCACAAGGGGUGGAGUCUGCGGUUCAAUUGGAUUCAACGCCAGAAAUCUUACCCGAAGAGACAGCAGAAUGAAGGUCAAGCUGGAGACUUUACCAGACAAGCUGAGAAGUGGUGCAUGGCCGUCGCCAGCUCGUGCCGUGAGAUGUCCUGUUAAGUCAGGUAACGAGCGAGAUCCCUGCCUCUAGUUGCCACCAUUACUCUCAGGAGUAGCGGGGCGAAUUAGCGGGACCGCCGCAGUUAAUGCGGAGGAAGGAAGGGGCCACGGCAGGUCAGUAUGCCCUGAAACUUUGGGGCCACACGCGGGCUGCAAUGGUAGUGACAAUGGGUUCCGAAUCCGAAAGGUGGAGGUAAUCCUCAAACGCUACCACAGUUAUGAUUGAGGGCUGCAACUCGUCCUCAUGAAUAUGGAAUCCCUAGUAACUGCGUGUCAUUACCGCGCAGUGAAUACGUCCCUGCUCCU